GAAACACAGGAGACAUGGUAGCGAGAGUGGAAGCUGACAUUGGAAAAACAGACACAUAACUGAUAAACAUGAAGUACAGGACUACAAAAUACUUAAAGAAUCAAAGUUCUGCAGAAAAGGAAAUUGCACAGAAAUGAGUCAAAUAAUCUGCACAUAAUUCUACCUUAAGGGUUACAACUGGGUGGCUACCUGAAGAAGGCUUCUGGACUGUGGGUAAUAUUUUAUAUUUUGAUCUGGCUAGUAGUUACAUAGAUAUACUCAUUGUAAAAGUGUAACAAGCUAUAGACUCAAGACGUGUG